GAUGAACGCUGGCGGCGUGCCUAAUACAUGCAAGUCGAGCGAACAGAUGAGGAGCUUGCUCCUCUGACGUUAGCGGCGGACGGGUGAGAACACGUGGAUAACCUACCUAUAUGACUGGGAUAACUUCGGGAAACCGGAGCUAAUACCGGAUAAUAUAUUGAACCGCAUGGUUCAAUAGUGAAAGACGGUUUUGCUGUCACUUAUAGAUGGAUCCGCGCCGCAUUAGCUAGUUGGUAAGGUAACGGCUUACCAAGGCAACGAUGCGUAGCCGACCUGAGAGGGUGAUCAGCCACACUGGAACUGAGACACGGUCCAGACUCCUACGGGAGGCAGCAGUAGGGAAUCUUCCGCAAUGGGCGAAAGCCUGACGGAGCAACGCCGCGUGAGUGAUGAAGGUCUUCGGAUCGUAAAACUCUGUUAUUAGGGAAGAACAAAUGUGUAAGUAACUAUGCACGUCUUGACGGUACCUAAUCAGAAAGCCACGGCUAACUACGUG
rnacentral:rRNA from 1 species